GCCAGUAGAGGUGCUGCAUGGCUGUCGUCAGCUCGUGUCGUGAGAUGUUGGGUUAAGUCCCGCAACGAGCGCAACCCUUACCCUUAGUUGCCAGCGGGUAAUGCCGGGCACUCUAAGGGGACCGCCCCGGAUAACGGGGAGGAAGGCGGGGAUGACGUCAAGUCAGCAUGGCCUUUAUGUCCAGGGCUACACACGUGCUACAAUGGGCGAUACAGAGGGAAGCAAGGCCGCAAGGUAGAGCUAAUCCCUAAAGUCGUCCUCAGUUCGGAUUGCAGGCUGCAACUCGCCUGCAUGAAGUCGGAAUCGCUAGUAAUCGCGGAUCAGCUACGCCGCGGUGAAUACGUUCUCGGGCCUU
rnacentral:rRNA from 1 species